rnacentral:lncRNA from 1 species
AUGAGGAUUACUGGUGGGUGAACGCCCCAGAACAUUCAUUCAGUGUUCACAAUGAGUGUUUGGCGUGUCCAGUGCAAAUAGGCGAUUGGAUUAUGCCGAUUGAUCUGCUAGUGCUAGAUCAGAUGUGGGGAUUUGAUGUUAUCUUGGGGACCAACUGGCUCUCCAAGUACUAUGCGGUGAUAGAUUGUGAAAGCAAGGUGAUCACUUUUCGUGAACCUAAUCAAGAAGAGUUAGUCUACCAAGCGUGCAAAAAUAGGCGCUUCGCGGCGACUAU